rnacentral:rRNA from 1 species
UGGGGAAUAUUGGACAAUGGGCGAAAGCCUGAUCCAGCCAUGCCGCGUGAGUGAUGAAGGCCCUAGGGUUGUAAAGCUCUUUUGCGCGGGAAGAUAAUGACGGUACCGCAAGAAUAAGCCCCGGCUAACUUCAUGCCAGCAGCCGCGGUAAUACGAAGGGGGCUAGCGUUGCUCGGAAUCACUGGGCGUAAAGGGUGCGUAGGCGGGUUUCUAAGUCAGAGGUGAAAGCCUGGAGCUCAACUCCAGAACUGCCUUUGAUACUGGAAGUCUUGAGUUCGGGAGAGGUGAGUGGAACUGCGAGUGUAGAGGUGAAAUUCGUAGAUAUUCGCAAGAACACCAGUGGCGAAGGCGGCUCACUGGCCCGAUACUGACGCUGAGGCACGAAAGCGUGGGGAGCAAACA